UACGUAGGUGGCAAGCGUUAUCCGGAUUUACUGGGUGUAAAGGGAGCGUAGACGGCGAUGCAGGCCAGAUGUGAAAGCCCGGGGCUCAACCCCGGGACUGCAUUUGGAACUGUAUAGCUAGAGUGUCGGAGAGGCAGGCGGAAUUCCUAGUGUAGCGGUGAAAUGCGUAGAUAUUAGGAGGAACACCAGUGGCGAAGGCGGCCUGCUGGACGAUGACUGACGUUGAGGCUCGAAAGCGUGGGGAGCAAACAGG
rnacentral:rRNA from 1 species